UACGUAGGGUGCGAGCGUUGCCCGGAAUUAUUGGGCGUAAAGAGCUUGUAGGUGGUUUGUCGCGUCUGCUGUGAAAAUCCGAGGCUCAACCUCGGACUUGCAGUGGGUACGGGCAGACUAGAGUGUGGUAGGGGAGACUGGAAUUCCUGGUGUAGCGGUGGAAUGCGCAGAUAUCAGGAGGAACACCGAUGGCGAAGGCAGGUCUCUGGGCCAUUACUGACACUGAGAAGCGAAAGCAUGGGGAGCGAACAGG
rnacentral:rRNA from 1 species